rnacentral:rRNA from 1 species
GACGAGCUCUCCAAACGUUAUUCGGUAUCACUGGGCUUAAAGAGUUCGUAGGCGGUCUGGUAGGUGAGGUGUGAAAUCCCCCGGCUCAACCGGGGAACUGCGCUUCAAACCGCCGGACUUGAGGGAGACAGAGGUGGGCGGAACAGAUGGUGGAGCGGUGAAAUGUGUAGAGAUCAGGAGGAACACCGGUGGCGAAGGCGGCUUGCUGGGCCAGUUCUGACGCUGAGGAGCGAAAGCGUGGGGAGCGAACAGG